GUGAGUGAAGGCUAUUGCAUUGUAAUACUAAUCCUAGAGUUUUACAUAGUCAUGACAGGGGUUGAAAAAUUGGAUUUAACUUUGCGCACACACAAGGCUGUCUAGUCCAACUUGCACCAGACUAGCCAGUCAGCCAAACUGUCCCCUGUGCAGAUGCCCUCUACAAAUCAGGAAGGAAGAAACCAGAUGGAGAGACUGUAAAAACAGAGUCUGGAUGUUCAGUUAAGGGGAAGGGGGAUGUGAAGCAAAAUAGGACUCCACCGAGCACAAAUCGAAACACCACACAACUUGGCUCAAAGUCACCUUGCUUAGCCGAGCAGUGUCAAGAAAAGUGGGUCAGGGAGAAGCACUGAUGUACAGCUGAGGGAUUUUUAAGUUCAGAA